rnacentral:tRNA from 1 species
GGAGAGGUACCCAAGUGGCUGAAGGGGACGGAUUGCUAAUCCGUUAGGUCGGUAAUAACCGGCGCGAGGGUUCGAAUCCCUCUCUCUCCGCCA